rnacentral:rRNA from 1 species
GAAAUGCUUAGAUAUCACGAAGAACUCCGAUUGCGAAGNCAGCUUGCUGGACUGUAACUGACGCUGAGGCACGAAAGCGUGGGGAUCAAACAGGAUUAGAUACCCUGGUANNCCACGCCGUAAACGAUGAAUGCUAGCUGUUAGCGAUAUACUGUUAGCGGCACAGAGAAAUCGUUAAGCAUUCCACCUGGGGAGUACGCCGGCAACGGUGAAACUCAAAGGAAUUGACGGGGGCCCGCACAAGCGGAGGAACAUGUGGUUUAAUUCGAUGAUACGCGAGGAACCUUACCUGGGCUUAAAUUGCAGUGGAAUAACGUGGAAACAUGUUAGCCUUCGGGCCGCUGUGAAGGUGCUGCAUGGUUGUCGUCAGCUCGUGCCGUGAGGUGUCGGCUUAAGUGCCAUAACGAGCGCAACCCUCAUCGAUAGUUACUAACAGGUUAAGCUGAGGACUCUAUCGAGACUGCCAGCGUAAGCUGUGAGGAAGGUGUGGAUGACGUCAAAUCAGCACGGCCCUUACGUCCGGGGCGACACACGUGUUACAAUGGGAGGUACAAAGGGCAGCUACCUGGCGACAGGAUGCUAAUCUCUAAAACCUUUCUCAGUUCGGAUUGGAGUCUGCAACUCGACUCCAUGAAGCUGGAUUCGCUAGUAAUCGCGCAUCAGCCAUGGCGCGGUGAAUACGUUCCCGGGCCUUGUACACACCGCCCGUCAAGCCAUGGAAGCUGGGGGUACCUGAAGUAUGCAACCGCAAGGAGCGUCCUAGGGUAAAACCGGUAACUGGGGCU